GACGUAGGGCGCAAGCGUUGUCCGGAUUUAUUGGGCGUAAAGAGCUCGUAGGCGGCUUGUUGCGUCGACUGUGAAAAACCACGUCUCAACCGUGGGACUGCAGUCGAUACGGGCAGGCUAGAGUUCGGUAGGGGAGACUGGAAUUCCUGGUGUAGCGGUGAAAUGCGCAGAUAUCAGGAGGAACACCGGUGGCGAAGGCGGUUCUCUGGGCCUGAUCUGACGCUGAGGAGCGAAAGCGUGGGGAGCGAACAGG
rnacentral:rRNA from 1 species